AGAGUUUGAUCCUGGCUCAGGACGAACGCUGGCGGCACGCUUAACACAUGCAAGUCGAACGAGAGAAGAGGAGCUUGCUUUUCUGAUCUAGUGGCGGACGGGUGAGUAACACGUGAGCAAUCUGCCUUUCAGAGGGGGAUACCGAUUGGAAACGAUCGUUAAUACCGCAUAACAUAAUUGAACCGCAUGAUUUGAUUAUCAAAGAUUUAUCGCUGAAAGAUGAGCUCGCGUCUGAUUAGCUAGUUGGUAAGGUAACGGCUUACCAAGGCGACGAUCAGUAGCCGGACUGAGAGGUUGAUCGGCCACAUUGGGACUGAGACACGGCCCAGACUCCUACGGGAGGCAGCAGUGGGGAAUAUUGCACAAUGGAGGAAACUCUGAUGCAGCGAUGCCGCGUGAGGGAAGAAGGUUUUAGGAUUGUAAACCUCUGUCUUCAGGGACGAAAAAAGACGGUACCUGAGGAGGAAGCUCCGGCUAACUACGUGCCAGCAGCCGCGGUAAUACGUAGGGAGCGAGCGUUGUCCGGAAUUACUGGGUGUAAAGGGAGCGUAGGCGGGAUCGCAAGUCAGAUGUGAAAACUAUGGGCUUAACCCAUAAACUGCAUUUGAAACUGUGGUUCUUGAGUGAAGUAGAGGUAAGCGGAAUUCCUAGUGUAGCGGUGAAAUGCGUAGAUAUUAGGAGGAACAUCAGUGGCGAAGGCGGCUUACUGGGCUUUAACUGACGCUGAGGCUCGAAAGCGUGGGGAGCAAACAGGAUUAGAUACCCUGGUAGUCCACGCCGUAAACGGUGAUUACUAGGUGUGGGGGGACUGACCCCUUCCGUGCCGCAGCAAACGCAAUAAGUAAUCCACCUGGGGAGUACGACCGCAAGGUUGAAACUCAAAGGAAUUGACGGGGGCCCGCACAAGCAGUGGAGUAUGUGGAUUAAUUCGAAGCAACGCGAAGAACCUUACCAGGUCUUGACAUCGUAUGCAUAGCUCAGAGAUGAGUGAAAUCUCUUCGGAGACAUAUAGACAGGUGGUGCAUGGUUGUCGUCAGCUCGUGUCGUGAGAUGUUGGGUUAAGUCCCGCAACGAGCGCAACCCUUACUGUUAGUUGCUACGCAAGAGCACUCUAGCAGGACUGCCGUUGACAAGACGGAGGAAGGUGGGGAUGACGUCAAAUCAUCAUGCCCCUUAUGACCUGGGCCUCACACGUACUACAAUGGCUGUCAACAGAGGGAAGCAAAGCCGCGAGGUGGAGCGAACCCCUAAAAGCAGUCUUAGUUCGGAUUGUAGGCUGCAACCCGCCUACAUGAAGUCGGAAUUGCUAGUAAUCGCAGAUCAGCAUGCUGCGGUGAAUACGUUCCCGGGCCUUGUACACACCGCCCGUCACGCCAUGGGAGUCGGUAACACCCGAAGCCUGUAGUCUAACCGCAAGGAGGACGCAGUCGAAGGUGGGAUUGAUGACUGGGGUGAAGUCGUAACAAGGUA
rnacentral:rRNA from 1 species